GACCCGAUAGCUCAGUUGGUAGAGCAUCUGUCUAACACGCAGAAGGUCUGGGGAUCGAGACCCCAUUGGGUUA
rfam:Acanthocystis turfacea Chlorella virus 1, complete genome.